GUGCGGUGGGGGGGGUGCAUCUCUUCCUCCCCCCCCCCCCCCAGUCCAUUCUGGGCAGCGGGGAGGGGCGGACUCUUGUUAGGUGUUUUCACUUCCAUGUUCCAGUUGGGGUGAAGGAUGGUCAGGGUCUGGCAAGUUAAAUGUUAACCCUACCCCCCCCCCCAGCUGAGGAAGCUAGGGGGGCACCCAGCCAGCCUGGGGUGGGGAACAGCGGCCGCUAACUCCCCCCCCCAGUUGCAUGGUUUCUGGGAGCAGCCCAGCGGCCGGCCCAGCUCCGCCUUUCCUCCCUAGACACUAAGGCCCAUACGUGCCAACACAGAGGAAAGGGGGGCAGAAAGGCUGCCCCACAUCAUCUGCGCUGAGCCCCGCUCCUGCCAGCAGGCCUCUCCCAUUCUAAAUAAAAGCCCCGGCUUCCCCCUGGGCCCGUUGGCGGGGGGCGUGGGAGGGGGCAGGCCUCCAAAAUGCCCAAAUCCACAGGCGGCUGGCGCCUCGCUUGGCCCCGUGCGGUGCCUUAAAUCUGCAUUGCGGUGCCUGGUGCUGGCGCCGCUGGGCUCGAACCCGGAACUCGGGGAGCCACACGCCCCGUGGGGGCAGCAAACCUGGCCUGGCGCAGGAACCGGGCGGAAAUCCGCCGGCUCCGACGCGCUGGGCCAGUGCUGGGGAGGGGGAGGGGGACAGAGCCCCAGGGGGACCCCGAGAAAGCUGCACGCUGGCUGCCCCCCUCCCCCAAUGGCUGCGUUUGAAGAUUUUUGUUUUUUCAUGAAUUUUUUUGUAAAUUUCCUUUUUAAAAAAAAAAAAGAGAGAAAAGUUUCCUCCUCCUUUCCCAGCCCCCUGGCCGGGGGGUGCAAGGGGGGGGGAGCGUAGAGCUGUGAUGUUUGCUGCUCCCAUGUUCUGGGUGUUAAGUUCCACCUUUUGGAGGUGUUGGGGGGGGUCCUGCUGACGCUAGCGCUGGGGGGGGGUUUGGCGUCGCUGGCUGUGACGGCGUCUUCGGCUGAAAUUGUUUGAUGCAGGUUUUUUAAAACUGUUGUAUUGAUUUGUGACAUGAAUGCACGGGGGGGGCACGGAUGUGUCAGCGGGGGGGGGGGCGAUUGAAGAAGGUUUACGUUUGUUUGCUUUUUCUGUGGCGUUGCUUUUUGGGGUGUUUUGGUUGCGCAACCCCCACCCGCAGGCCUGCGGUUUGCUGUGGGGGGGUCCUGGCCAUGGCUGCUGGGCGGGUGCCCAGAGCAGCUGGCGCCUCCAGAAGGCACAGCGAGUCCCUCGUCCAUUUCAGCUGCAUGGGGGGGGGCAUUCCCUCAAAAGCCAAGCGCCCCCCCCAAAAAAACACCUCAGCACUUUGUAACAACUUGGGGGGGGGGGGGCUCAUUACAAAUAAGCCAAUAGGUUGCCCUAGUGGUACCUCCUCCUCCCUAGCUAGUUACCUGCCCCAAACACCUGAGCCUGUCCUCCCCCACCCCAGCCAAUAAACCUCCUGUCCCUGCCCCCCUAUUGACAGGCCAGCCCUGGGCCUCUGAGCCCUGGGCCAGUGGGGGGGGCCCAGCGCGCCAGGUUCAGGGUUUUGUCCGUUAACCAAAGAUCACUGGGCCCCACGGCGCCGCCCCACAACAUCAGGGCAGCAUCAGCACCCCCUGCCCCCCGGACAAAGCCCUUUCCAGGCAGCCGGAGACCCCCAUUGUCAACCCAAGCAGCUGGGGCCAGGCCUUGGCAGGCAGGGGGUGGUGAGGGGCAGUGUGGGACCCACAAAAAAGUGCCGCUCUGCCUCGAGCUGGGUUCCCUGCCCCCUGGGGGGCCUGCUUGUCCCCACUCCCCUGAUCUCGGCUGCUGCCCCGUGUCGUAUCUAGGAAGGGGGGAGCAGGGGGGUCUAAGCAUCUGGAGUGUUGGGGUGCGUGUGUGUGUGUGGGGGGGGGCUAGUCUCAGCUCUGCCCCCGCCCCACUCCAGCAUUUCCUGGGCUUGGGGCGCCACAGGUUGUUGGGGGGCACGGGGCCCUGCAGCCCUAGCCUAGCCAUGGGCCAAGGCCGGCCCCUGCUGGUGGGGCCCACCCUGGGGCAGGCAGGGGGGCAGUUGGCGCUGCAGUUCCCUGCUCCACUGCUGGUGUUCAGGUCUGAGCAAUAAGAGGCCAUUUGCCCCCCCUUGCCCCACUGCCAGUGCAGGGGGUAGGGCCUGGCUGGGCAGAUAUCCUGCUGGAUUUUGAGUCUUGUGCCUUGAUCGUUCCCUGCCUGAGAUCCAGCCCCUGCACUUUAGGGUCUAGCGCAGGGCGGGCGGCGUUUAGCUCCCCCAUUAACAGCCUAGGCCAAGAGACCCCCUUGCCCACACGCCCUGGGAGUUGUGCCAGUCCCUGAGGCCUGGCAGAUCCUGGCUUAGCACCUCCCGGCCCCCAGCGCACUGCCCGUCAUUGGCCAGCAUGGCUUCCCCUCUCCUGAACCCGGCUCUGCGUCCAACUCGCCCCCGCUACACAGCUACCUCGCCCCCAUGGCGGCUUCUCUCCCAAGCCCAGCGGUGCAAAGCCAUGGCCCAUUCCCCGCUCUCUGCCGGUUCCCCCCCCCUGCCCGGGGGGAGCGUUCAUGGUUUCACAAACCUCAUGUUGCUGCUAAUUACUGGGGCACCUGUUCGCCAGGCAGGGCCCCGCCGGUUGUGUUUUCAGAUGGCAUUUUGUUCCGUUGCCUGGGUCGGGGAGUGGGUUAGGUCUCGAGCAGGCUGGGGCGGGGGAUGACAGCGGGGGGGUCCCACCCGGGCUCACACCCCGGCAGCUAACCAAAGAGGGAGAAGUAGCCGCAUUUGUGCUCAGCAUUGGGGCCGGGAAGCCACAGGGGGGCGGGGUGGUGGUGGAUAAAACAGCCUCUGGCAUUAAAGGACAGGCCACGGGCAUCGCUGGUGCCUGGGGACGGGAAGCCACAGCCUCAAGGCUGGUGCCUGCUGCCUUAGGACCAGCCCAGCGUGGGGUUUAAUCCCAGCAGAGGAGCGUUAGCCGGAGAAGCAGAGCCCGGGCUCGCCAGGCAGGCUGGAGCUGGGUGCCAGGCUGGGGAUGCUGGCCAGUGCCUGGCCUGCCAAAAACAGGCUCUUGCCUGAGACGGUGAGGGAGGGGUGCAAGGCCUUGGGUCUGUGCCAGCUGCUCCUCCCCCAUUGAAAUCGGCAGCUCCGAGCCUUGAGCUGUAGCGGUUGUGACCCCCAGAACCACCCCCCGAAGCUGGGGGCGCCGGCCCCAUCUCAGCCCGCCCGCUGCACCCGUGGCCCUCCCAGCACCCGCCUCUGGCCUUGGCAUCAUUGCAGGCACCAAAUCACACAUGAGACCCGCGGGUGUGGGGUCACGCGCCUGCCCCACAGGGCUGUAGGCUAGCCCCAGCACUGGCUCGAGGCCAUAACGGCCGGGCAGGGGGCUGGGGCCCACUGGAGAAAGGGGAUGCUAAACCAACCACCUCUUUUGCCAUUGCCCCGUGCUGCUUCUCCCCCCCCCCCAGCCCUGUCUUGCACCGCCCCCCCUCCCCCCAGGAGUUAGCACCCUUUAAUUUAUACCAAGGAGCAUUUUGUACAGGUUUUUAAGUUUUGGGGUUUUUUAAAAAAAAUCUCGAGGUUUCUAGUUUUGUAUUCUUCCCGCUUCUGUGCUCCAGCCGGGCUUGUGUGUCCCCCGUCCCCCCCGCCUCUGAUGGAGCUCCCACUCUGCUCAUGUGGAAGUUUUUGUUUUUAAAUAAAAAGGUGGGAAAGAAAAGUCGGCUCGGUCUCCUCUGUGGUUUGGCGGUUGCCUGGGCAAGGCCUGGUCGGUUAGUACAGCCGCAGCAAUUCUGGCUUCCAGCACCAGGGGGGCGCUCUCCGGCAACUAGGCACAUGAUGCACAACCUGUGGAACUCAUUGCCAGGGGACACUGUGAAGGCCAAAAGCAGAAUGAAACCAGUUCAUAGAGGUCUGGCCCUGGCCCCCAUGCUCCAGGUGGCUCUAAACUUCUGUCAGAAGCUGGGGCUGGACACUCGCUACUGGCCCUGUUCUGUUCACACCCUCAAGUAUUAGCCACCGGCCACUGUCCAAGCUGGUCCCCUGUUCUUAAGCCAUGGGGGUGGGGGACAGUGUAUUCAAGGCUGCGCCGCAGCCCAGUAUAGGCUCUGCCCCCACCCCCAGGGCAGAGAUCAGCGGCCGUGACCCUGGGCCGGCGCUGCAGCAGUUGCUGUUAGAGAAGCUGGGCGGAGAGGGGACCCGCUCGGGUCAGAGCAGGGGCCAGGCUCCACACAAGCUGGGUUAAUUCAGGAGCACGGGAGAGAACGGAGCCGGGGGAGCAGCAGGAACCGGGCCCCUCUAGUGCUGCCCGGGGCUGCAGCUCGGUCCUGCCGCACGGGAGGGGCCAGGCUCCCUCCCGGCGUUCCCAAGCCGAGGGGGCGGCGAGGGAGCCCAGCGAUCAGGCGGGUUGAGAUGCGUCAGAAGCAGCUGCACAGGCAUGACUCAGCGGGUGCAGGCAGCCAACCGCCUCUGCAGCGGCAGCUCCCGCUCCCCCGGCCCGGGAGCCAGUUAAAAGGGAGGCAGGCGGGAGCCACCACCUCCCAGCUGCAUGGGCCCAAGUUCCAGUCCUUGUAGUGGGUGCCUCAAUCCCCUAGGCCGCUCAGCUUUCUAACGGUGACAGCCUCAUUUACCCACCAGCUGCGUUUUGGUGCAGUUACAGUGCCCUGGGGCGGGCGCAGUCAGACCCUCAUGGGAGUGCUCCAAGCCACACCCCAGGGAAUGAGCUACCAGGUUACGCGCCCCUUGCACCCCGGGGAACCAUGCCCAGCCUGAGGCUUGCGCGGUAGCAACGCUGGAGCAAAGAAAACACGCCCCAGGCCGUUAUACCAGGACAAGAUCGGAGCAAGGCCUGGCCGCUGUCCUUUGCCCGCUUCCUGGCACGGCUAGUGAACGCCUGAACUUCAGAUCUGAAAAGCCAGCUGGGAUCUCUCCCUCUUCCCCCCACCAUCCAGCUGCCCCCACCAGAAACACCCCCGACGACACCGUCUCUAUCAAACGUGGGUUUGUUUUUAUUCUCGCAACUUGACAAGCACUCUCUACCGCUGUACUUGUGGGAACAUCACAUGGCAACAAACAGGAGUUAAUCUAGAAUAUUUUUUUUCCUUUAAACCUUAUUAAAAAUGAGAUUGGUCCUAAAAAUAUAGAAAGAAAUAAAUUUAAAUUCACAAAAACUGUACAUUAUCAAAAAGUCACUAAAACACCACAUUUGGUUAUAUAAAAAAGAGCCAGUCCUGUUCCUUUUACAAGGAACAUCAGAACAUUUUUCUUUUACGGUGGUUGGUUCUUCCUGUUUUAUCAGACAGAGACGGGGCGGGAGGGGAGGGGAGGGGGAAGGCCAGUUCUAGACAACCCCUCCCCCCCAAAAAAUGUAAUUUACAAAGCCAACUCAUUAAGGGUUAAAAAACAAAAUAUAUUCCACAUCUUAACAUUUCUUGUACUCAGUCCAGAAUGGAUUUCUACACUCUGGUGCAUCCCCAAUAAGGAAGAGCGGGUGGGAUUUCAGACACGUCUGGAUUAAU